UUCGGACUGGAGUCUGCAACCCGACUCCACGAAGUUGGAUUCGCUAGUAACCGCGCAUCAGCCAUGGCGCGGUGAAUACGUUCCCGGGCCUUGUACACCACCGCCCGUCAAGCCAUGGGAGCCGGGGGCGCCUGAAGUCCGGGACCGCGAGGACCGGCCUAGGGCGAAACUGGUGACUGGGGCUAAGUCGUAACAAGGUAGC
rnacentral:rRNA from 1 species